rnacentral:rRNA from 1 species
UACGUAGGUGGCAAGCGUUGUCCGGAUUUACUGGGCGUAAAGAGCGCGCAGGCGGCCGAGUAAGUCGAAUGUGAAAGCCCCCGGCUCAACUGGGGAAGGUCAUUCGAUACUGUUCGGCUCGAAGAUAGGAGAGGGAAGCGGAAUUUCAGGUGUAGUGGUGAAAUGCGUAGAUAUCUGAAGGAACACCAAUGGCGAAGGCAGCUCGCUGGGACGUUACUGACGCUGAGACGCGAAAGCGUGGGGAGCAAACAGG